GGCAGAGCUUUAUGACGUCAUAUUUGAGGGGGGUCUGACUUCUUGUGACGCCGUGUGACGAGGGAGGGAGGUGAAAAAUCGUCCAAAAUCGCGUGACGUCAUUUAUGGACGGCCCCUAAGAUCUGCAGCAGUAUUCCGAUAAAACGUCGGACGAGCCCAUUGAGUGAGUCUUGCGUGAUGCUUGAGGCCAUCAAGAGAGCUCUUUGCCUGGAGGUGGAGCCAGUGGGCCGCGUAGCUCGCCGUGAUCGUAUAGUGGUUAGUACUCUGCGUUGUGGCCGCAGGUUCGAAUCCGAGUCACGGCAUUGUGGCGACAAAGACACGGCAGCGGCCUGCGUUGUUUUAUUGUCCUUGUUUAUAGGGGUUAGUUAAUUUAGCCACGCGUUUGCAGAAAGGCGUGCGUGUUUUAUCUGUUACUUUUUAAAGUCAGUAAAUGUAACUGCUGUCAUCACCUGACCCACGAUCUGAACUUCUCGAGCAGCGCUGCCUCGUGGCCCAGGUCGAGAGGCGACUCCCACCAUGCAUUUCACCGUUAGCACAGUUGUAGUAAACUGCUUUUAUCCUUUACGUCUUUCUUGCCUGUAUAACCUCUUACCACGGCAACUGUCUCUCCCACUUCAGCAAAACAUUUUCUUGCUGUGGUUUUCCCACCUGAUGAUGAUUGCUUGUGUUGCAAUCGAAACGUGAUUUAUUUUUUGUUUGUUUUAUACCUACUACGUGACUUAACCAAAAAUAACCAAAGAGUAUGGAUCCCUGCAGUCACGAAAACUUCAAUUCUAGAUUCUUAAAUCGUUGACUUUGCAGGUGAUAUAAACUUGUUAAAUUACAGUUAAUGUUAAUGUUGACACUGAACAAGUUGAAUAUUUGUAGGCGCUAAACCUGCUUAGCUGGGAAACCACACCGUACCCAUAGCGUAGAGUCAGUCUACCUGACUACAUAUAGCGCUGCGUCGACGUGUUCUUAUUAAGACUAUACUUUCAGGGAUCAUUUCUAUAGUUUCCAACUUACGAAAUGGGCUCUAAAGUGUCUGGACCAACCAGCCCCGAUGAGGAGUUGGAGCUGUGCCUCCUGAGCGCGAAGCCGGCUUGGAGUGCUGCUCACGCAGCAGCUCCUCGCCAUUGAUGACCGUUCCUGCCGCUCGCAAGGGUGGCGGGAGGGAGGCACAGCAAGCUGAGGGGUUGGUUUC